rnacentral:tRNA from 1 species
GCCCCAGUGGUGCAGUGGGUAAGCAUUUGGCUGCUAACCAAAAGGUCGGUGGUUCAAACCUACCAGAGGCU